rnacentral:tRNA from 2 species
GCAGUCGUGGCCGAGUGGUUGAGGCAAUGGACUAGAAAUCCAUUGGGGUCUCCCCGCACAGGUUUGAAUCCUGUUGACUGCA